UACGUAGGGUGCAGGCGUUAAUCGGAAUUACUGGGCGUAAAGCGUGCGCAGGCGGUUUCUUAAGUCAGAUGUGAAAGCCCCGGGCUUAACCUGGGAACUGCGUUUGAAACUGGGAGACUUGAGUGUGGGCAGAGGGGGGGUGGAAUUCCACGUGUAGCAGUGAAAUGCGUAGAUAUGUGGAGGAACACCGAUGGCGAAGGCAGCCCCCUGGGUUAACACUGACGCUCAUGCACGAAAGCGUGGGGAGCAAACAGG
rnacentral:rRNA from 1 species